rnacentral:lncRNA from 1 species
AUGUUGGAAUUACAAACAUGUGAAAUAACUGAGUUUCCCUGGGUUGUGAGGAGGUACUAUGCCGUUUUCAUAACCAGAGUUACCCUCAACAAUUUCUGGGGAAAAGGAAAUUCUUGCGGCAUGUUCAACAAAUGUUCGGCCAAGGCUUGCGGCUGUAUUGGAUUAGACAUUGGCCGAAUCGGAGGGCGGACAUUGCAAGGACAAUGGUUCUCCUACCACAGAAAGAAGCACCUGCAGUACAUGCGUCGAUUCUGGGCCCUUGUUAACGAUAAAAAUGCUGAGAUGACUUCUUCUUAGCCGCCGGUAAGUAAACCGCAUAAAAGGCUCGUUUCUUAAGUAUAACGAUGGCGCAAACCUUCGCAAAGAUAUUAAAACUGAUUUGGAAUCACCUCGGCAAAUCUUCCAAUUUUGAAAGGAAAAUAUUAAUUAUGUUAAGAAUAUUAUCAAGACUUCCUGGGUGUUUCAGAAAAUUUGAGUAUAACCAACAUUUUUAAAACGUAUCUAAUGGACCACUAGACAAGGUGCGAAUUAAAGGAUUCUGAUACAUGUUUCUUAACCAAAUUUUACGCAAAACACGAUUCGCGCAACAAAAAUUACUAAAACCUACUCCUAACAAAGAUAUUAACGUUUUUAUUUCACAUUUGG